rnacentral:rRNA from 1 species
CCCUUAGAUGUCCUGGGCCGCACGCGCGCUACACUGAUGCAUGCAACGAGUUUAUAACCUUGGCCUGAAAGGUCUGGGUAAUCUUUUGAACGUGCAUCGUGAUAGGGAUAGAUUAUUGCAAUUGUUAAUCUUCAACGAGGAAUGCCUAGUAGGCGCAAGUCAUCAGCUUGCGUCGAUUACGUCCCUGCCCUUUGUACACACCGCCCGUCGCUCCUACCGAUUGGGUGUGCUGGUGAAAUGUUCGGAUCGGCCGUUUGUCGCGGUUUCCGCGUCAUGUGGCUGAGAAGUUCAUUAAACCCUCCCACCUAGAGGAAGGAGAAGUCGUAACA